rnacentral:rRNA from 1 species
AGUGUGUGUGUUAGUGGAAGCGUCUGGAAAGGCGUGCGAUACAGGGUGACAGCCCCGUACACAAAAAUGCACAUAUUGUGAGCUCGAUGAGUAGGGCGGGACACGUGGUAUCCUGUCUGAAUAUGGGGGGACCAUCCUCCAAGGCUAAAUACUCCUGACUGACCGAUAGUGAACCAGUACCGUGAGGGAAAGGCGAAAAGAACCCCGGCGAGGGGAGUGAAAAAGAACCUGAAACCGUGUACGUACAAGCAGUGGGAGCACGCUUAGGCGUGUGACUGCGUACCUUUUGUAUAAUGGGUCAGCGACUUAUAUUCUGUAGCAAGGUUAACCGAAUAGGGGAGCCGAAGGGAAACCGAGUCUUAACUGGGCGUUAAGUUGCAGGGUAUAGACCCGAAACCCGGUGAUCUAGCCAUGGGCAGGUUGAAGGUUGGGUAACACUAACUGGAGGACCGAACCGACUAAUGUUGAAAAAUUAGCGGAUGACUUGUGGCUGGGGGUGAAAGGCCAAUCAAACCGGGAGAUAGCUGGUUCUCCCCGAAAGCUAUUUAGGUAGCGCCUCGUGAAUUCAUCUCCGGGGGUAGAGCACUGUUUCGGCAAGGGGGUCAUCCCGA